rnacentral:rRNA from 1 species
GGAUAACUACCGGAAACGGUAGCUAAUACCCGAUACAUCCUUUUCCUGCAUGGGAGAAGGAGGAAAGGCGGAGCAAUCUGUCACUUGUGGAUGGGCCUGCGGCGCAUUAGCUAGUUGGUGGGGUAAUGGCCUACCAAGGCGACGAUGCGUAGCCGACCUGAGAGGGUGAUCGGCCACACUGGGACUGAGACACGGCCCAGACUCCUACGGGAGGCAGCAGUAGGGAAUCUUCCGCAAUGGGCGAAAGCCUGACGGACCACGCCGCGUGAGUGAUGAAGGUUUUCGGAUCGUAAAGCUCUGUUGCCAGGGAAGAACGUCUUGUAAAGUAACUGCUAUAAGAGUGACGUACCUGAGAAGAAAGCCCCGGCUAACUACGUGCCAGCAGCCGCGGUAUACGUAG